rnacentral:rRNA from 1 species
CUACCACGCGAGUGGAUGCCAAUCCCCAAAACCUCUCUCAGUUCGGACUGGAGUCUGCAACCCGACUCCACGAAGCUGGAUUCGCUAGUAAUCGCGCAUCAGCCACGGCGCGGUGAAUACGUUCCCGGGCCUUGUACACACCGCCCGUCAAGCCAUGGGAGCCGGGGUACCUGAAGUGCGUAACCGCGAGGAGCGCCCUAGGGUAAAACUGGUGACUGGGGCUAAGUCGUAACAAGGUAUC